rnacentral:rRNA from 1 species
UACGGAGGGUGCAAGCGUUGUCCGGAAUCACUGGGCGUAAAGGGUGCGUAGGCGGCCUGUUAAGUCAGGGGUGAAAGACGGUAGCUUAACUAUCGCAGUGCCCUUGAUACUGAUGGGCUUGAAUGUACUAGAGGUAGGCGGAAUGUGACAAGUAGCAGUGAAAUGCAUAGAUAUGUCACAGAACACCAAUUGCGAAGGCAGCUUACUAUGGUAUGAUUGACGCUGAGGCACGAAAGCGUGGGGAGUCAAACAGG